rnacentral:misc_RNA from 1 species
UGGAAGUAAAAGUCGUAACAAGGUCUCCGUUGGUGAACCAGCGGAGGGAUCAUUACUGAGUACUACACUCUCUACCCUUUGUGAACUAUUAUACCUGUUGCUUCGGCGGCGCCCGCGAGGGUGCCCGCCGGUCUCAUCAGAAUCUCUGUUUUCGAACCCGACGAUACUUCUGAGUGUUCUUAGCGAACUGUCAAAACUUUUAACAACGGAUCUCUUGGCUCCAGCAUCGAUGAAGAACGCAGCGAAACGCGAUAUGUAAUGUGAAUUGCAGAAUUCAGUGAAUCAUCGAAUCUUUGAACGCACAUGGCGCCUUCCAGUAUCCUGGGAGGCAUGCCUGUCCGAGCGUCGUUUCAACCCUCGAGCCCCCGUGGCCCGGCGUUGGGGAUCUGCCACGGCAGGCCCCUAAAACCAGUGGCGGACCCGAAGGCCCUCUCCUUUGCGCAGUAGCAUCAGCCUCGCAUUGGGAUCCCUCGGCGUCCUGCCUCUAAACCCCCCACAAGUCCGCUCCGGCGGCACCAAGGUUGACCUCGGAUCAGGUAGGAAUACCCGCUGAACCUAAGCAUAUCAAUAAGCGGAGGA